rnacentral:misc_RNA from 1 species
AAGUCGUAACAAGGUCUCCGUUGGUGAACCAGCGGAGGGAUCAUUACAGAGUUGCAAAACUCCCAACCCUUUGUGAACGAACCUAUUAGUUGCUUCGGCGGCAGACCCCUCUGGGGCCUAGCCUUUACGGGUACCCCGCCGGAGUCCUACAAACUCUUAAUUUUUUGGCAUCUCUGAGUAGCUUAUAAAUAAGUUAAAACUUUCAACAACGGAUCUCUUGGUUCUG